rnacentral:rRNA from 1 species
UACAGAGGGUGCAAGCGUUAAUCGGAAUUACUGGGCGUAAAGCGUGCGUAGACGGUAGCGUAAGUCGGGUGUGAAAGCCCCGGGCUCAACCUGGGAAUGGCAUUCGAGACUGCUCUGCUAGGGUGCGGAAGAGGGGAGCGGAAUUUCCGGUGUAGCGGUGAAAUGCGUAGAUAUCGUAAGGAAGACCAGUGGCGAAGGCGAGUCUCUGGACAGUUACUGACGCUGAGGCACGAAGGCCAGGGGAGCAAACGGG